CAAUCUGCCCUAAAGUUCGGGACAACCUGCCGAAAGGUGAGCUAAUACCGAAUGUGAUCGUUUGCAGGCAUCUGCGAAUAAUCAAAGCUGGGGAUCGUAAGACCUGGCGCUUUAGGAUGGGCCCGCGGCCUAUCAGCUAGUUGGUGAGGUAACGGCUCACCAAGGCCUAGACGGGUAGCCGGUCUGAGAGGACGAUCGGCCACACUGGAACUGAGACACGGUCCAG
rnacentral:rRNA from 1 species